CCCUUAGAUGUUCUGGGCCGCACGCGCGCUACACUGACGAUGGCAACGAGUUUUUCCUUCGCCGAAAGGUGUGGGUAAUCUUUUGAAACAUCGUCGUGCUGGGGAUAGAUCAUUGCAAUUUUUGAUCUUGAACGAGGAGUUCCUAGUAAGCGCGAGUCAUCAGCUCGCGUUGAUUACGUCCCUGCCCUUUGUACACACCGCCCGUCGCUACUACCGAUUGAAUGGUUUAGUGAGGACUCCUGAUUGGCGCCGCCGCCCCGGCAACGGAGCAGCGGACUGCCGAAAAGUUGUUCAAACUUGAUCAUUUAGAGGAAGUAAAAGUCGUAACA
rnacentral:rRNA from 1 species